rnacentral:rRNA from 1 species
CCUACGGGAGGCAGCAGUGAGGAAUAUUGGUCAAUGGACGCAAGUCUGAACCAGCCAUGCCGCGUGCAGGAAGACGGCUCUAUGAGUUGUAAACUGCUUUUGUACGAGAGUAAACGCAGAUACGCGUAUCUGUCUGACAGUAUCGUACGAAUAAGGAUCGGCUAACUCCGUGCCAGCAGCCGCGGUAAUACGGAGGAUUCAAGCGUUAUCCGGAUUUAUUGGGUUUAAAGGGUGCGUAGGCGGUCGGAUAAGUUAGAGGUGAAAUACCGAGGCUCAACCUCGGAAUUGCCUCUGAUACUGUUCGGCUAGAGAGUAGUUGCGGUAGGCGGAAUGUAUGGUGUAGCGGUGAAAUGCUUAGAGAUCAUACAGAACACCGAUUGCGAAGGCAGCUUACCAAGCUACUUCUGACGUUGAGGCACGAAAGCGUGGGGAGCAAACAGGAUUAGAUACCCGGGUAGUC